UGCAGCUGGGUCAAAUUCAGCACUUGCCUCUUCCAUGGUCUGGAAGGUCCAAAAGUGACACCUGUAGCUCAUGGGCCUCGGAACACUUUGUGGGUUCUGGGGAUCAUUUUGCUGCCAACACGG